rnacentral:tRNA from 2 species
GCCCCGUUCGUCUAGCGGCCUAGGACACCGCCCUCUCACGGCGGCAGCACCGGUUCAAAUCCGGUACGGGGUA